rnacentral:rRNA from 1 species
AUGGAUCUGACACAGGUGCUGCCGGAGGAAAUACUCGCCGACGUGCUCCACCGCGUCGCGCCGCGCGGCCUCGCCGCAUGCCGCUGCGUCUGCAAGGCCCUUCUCGCCGUCAUCGACGCCAGCCGCCUACUGCGCGCGGACCUCCUCCCGCUCUCGGUCGGCGGCGUCUUCAUCAAUUUCUACUGCGAACGUGUGUCGGAGUUCUUCACCAGUCCCUCCACCGGCCCCACCAUCUCCGGCAGGUUCGACUACGUGCCCUAUCCCAGCCGUCCUGAUUGGCGCAAAAUCAAGGACCACUGCAAUGGCCUCCUGUUGCUUGCUGAUUAUUGGGAUUGGGAGGAUUGUUACGUGGUUAACCCGGCCACGCGGCAGUGGGAUUCUCUACCACCGCGUCCGUCCGUGUUCGAGGAGAUAGAUGAAGACCUCAAAUGCGAAUAUCACCUCGUGUUUGAUCCCAUGGUGUCGCCCCACUAUGAGGUGUUUGUGAUCCUAAAUCCUCGCUACAACGGACAUGAGGACCAAGUAGACCCUGUUAUAUUGGAGGAACCUGAAUCUGAUUCUGAAUGGCCACCACCAGCGUUUGAUUUGCAUGUUUUCUCCUCAAAGUCGGGCAGUUGGAAGGAGAGGUCUGUUUUUCGACAAGGGGAGGCUGCUGCCACUGUUUCUGGAAUGCGGCGGCAUCUCGACUGGUUUGAUGACAGACGGCAUGCCGUCUACUGCCGGGGCAACCUUUACGUCCACUGCAAAACUGAUUUCAUAAUGAGGAUCUGCUUGUCAAAUGAUAAGUACCAAGUAAUUAAACCACCCAUGGAUCGUGAACCGGACGACUACCAGAAGCUUCAUCUUGGACGAUCAGAAAAAGGGGUGUACCUUGCAACUGCUACUUUUAAAACGUCUCGUCUUAUGGUUUGGGUCCUUGAGGAAUCGUGUGGGCACGCAAAUUGGGUCUUGAAGCAUAACAAUUGCCUUACACCUAUACAAGAUGAUCUUCGUCCUGUUCUUGGGCCAUGGGUCUUACAAGAUAUCAAUUUUAAUGAGUAUCUCAAAGAAUGCAAGGAAUGUAAUCAACACGGCGACGACUUGGAAUGGCUAAUAGAAAAGAAAUUGGAGUUGAACUCCGUCAAGAAAGAUCUAGGGGAAGAAAAGUUUGAAUGGGACUUUGAAAAUGACAACGUUCUUCACAAGGAAGAUGAGGUUGACGGACGUGGAUCUGGAUACUUUGGUAUCCUUGGAUUUCAUCCGUAUAAAGAGGUUGUCUUUCUGCAUGUAUCAAUGUGCAGAGGGUUGGCCUAUCAUUUGAAAGAUUCAAAGUUUCAGGAUCUUGGCUAUUUAUACCCAACAACUUGUCAUCUAGCAUCGGGGGCCGACCGUUUCAUAACUGAUUCAUUCCCAUACACACCUUGUUGGACAGAACUGCAGAAAGCAACAAGAAUGUAG